CCCUUCGAUGUUCUGGGCUGCACGCGCGCUACAAUGACAAUGUCAGCGAGUUUUAAAUUUAUAUUCGCUUGUGCGAAAGCACUGGCAAAUCUUGUGAAACGUUGUCGUACUAUGGAUUGCUGAUUGCAAUUAUUCGGCAUGAAACAGGAAUACCUAGUAGGUGUGGUUCAUCAGACUGCGCCGAUUACGUCCCUGCCCUUUGUACACACCGCCCGUCGCUCCUACCGAUUGAACGGUUUAGUGAGGGCCUCGGAUUGGUCUCGGCCCGCUCUUUACCGGGCGGCGCCGUUGGUCGAGAAGACGCUCGAACUUGAUCGUUUAGAGGAAGUAAAAGUCGUAACA
rnacentral:rRNA from 1 species